AUGCCUUUUUCAGAAUACAUUUCACCAAUUUUAAGAAGUCCCUGACAUCAUAACCUUGUUUCCUUCUAAUGAACCUGGAACUGCAGAGUAAAUAUUGUUGACUCUGUGUCAGAUUGCUUGUUUUGUUCCUGGAUUCUUCAGUGAUGACGAUCAGAGUCUUGAGUGAACCUGCUGUCAGACAGGUUGGCCUGAUUGACGAUGCCAUCGUCCAUCGCUGAUGGCUGAUAGACAUCACGAUGCUGCGCCGGACACAGCGUCAUCAGCUCCAGUAUCUCGCCCGUGCAUCUGUUGUCAUGCGACAGAGAAGUCACGUUCUAUAGACAGUUUCUAUAGACAG